GACGAACGCUGGCGGCGUGCUUAACACAUGCAAGUCGAACGGAAAGGCCCUGCUUUUGUGGGGUGCUCGAGUGGCGAACGGGUGAGUAACACGUGAGUAACCUGCCCUUGACUUUGGGAUAACUUCAGGAAACUGGGGCUAAUACCGGAUAGGAGCUCCUGCUGCAUGGUGGGGGUUGGAAAGUUUCGGCGGUUGGGGAUGGACUCGCGGCUUAUCAGCUUGUUGGUGGGGUAGUGGCUUACCAAGGCUUUGACGGGUAGCCGGCCUGAGAGGGUGACCGGCCACAUUGGGACUGAGAUACGGCCCAGACUCCUACGGGAGGCAGCAGUGGGGAAUAUUGCACAAUGGGCGGAAGCCUGAUGCAGCAACGCCGCGUGCGGGAUGACGGUCUUCGGGUUGUAAACCGCUUUCGCCUGUGACGAAGCGUGAGUGACGGUAAUGGGUAAAGAAGCACCGGCUAACUACGUGCCAGCAGCCGCGGUGAUACGUAGGGUGCGAGCGUUGUCCGGAUUUAUUGGGCGUAAAGGGCUCGUAGGUGGUUGAUCGCGUCGGAAGUGUAAUCUUGGGGCUUAACCCUGAGCGUGCUUUCGAUACGGGUUGACUUGAGGAAGGUAGGGGAGAAUGGAAUUCCUGGUGGAGCGGUGGAAUGCGCAGAUAUCAGGAGGAACACCAGUGGCGAAGGCGGUUCUCUGGGCCUUUCCUGACGCUGAGGAGCGAAAGCGUGGGGAGCGAACAGGCUUAGAUACCCUGGUAGUCCACGCUGUAAACGGUGGGUACUAGGUGUGGGGUCCAUUCCACGGGUUCCGUGCCGUAGCUAACGCUUUAAGUACCCCGCCUGGGGAGUACGGCCGCAAGGCUAAAACUCAAAGGAAUUGACGGGGCCCCGCACAAGCGGCGGAGCAUGCGGAUUAAUUCGAUGCAACGCGUAGAACCUUACCUGGGUUUGACAUGGAUCGGGAGUGCUCAGAGAUGGGUGUGCCUCUUUUGGGGUCGGUUCACAGGUGGUGCAUGGCUGUCGUCAGCUCGUGUCGUGAGAUGUUGGGUUAAGUCCCGCAACGAGCGCAACCCUUGUUCACUGUUGCCAGCACGUUAUGGUGGGGACUCAGUGGAGACCGCCGGGGUCAACUCGGAGGAAGGUGGGGAUGACGUCAAGUCAUCAUGCCCCUUAUGUCCAGGGCUUCACGCAUGCUACAAUGGCUGGUACAGAGAGUGGCGAGCCUGUGAGGGUGAGCGAAUCUCGGAAAGCCGGUCUCAGUUCGGAUUGGGGUCUGCAACUCGACCUCAUGAAGUCGGAGUCGCUAGUAAUCGCAGAUCAGCAACGCUGCGGUGAAUACGUUCCCGGGGCU
rnacentral:rRNA from 1 species